GAUUGCAGGCUGCAACUCGCCUGCAUGAAGUCGGAAUUGCUAGUAAUCGUAGGUCAGCAUACUACGGUGAAUACGUUCCCGGGCCUUGUACACACCGCCCGUCAAACCAUGAGAGUUGGCAACACCCGAAGUCGGUAGUCUAACCGCAAGGAGGACGCCGCCGAAGGUGGGGUUGAUGAUUAGGGUUAAGUCGUAACAAGGUACC
rnacentral:rRNA from 1 species